rnacentral:rRNA from 1 species
GACGUAGGGCGCGAGCGUUGUCCGGAUUUAUUGGGCGUAAAGAGCUCGUAGGCGGCUUGUCGCGUCGGCCGUGAAAACCCGCGGCUCAACUGUGGGCGGGCAGCUGAUACGGGCAGGCUGGAGUUCGGUAGGGGAGACUGGAAUUCCUGGUGUAGCGGUGAAAUGCGCAGAUAUCAGGAGGAACACCGGUGGCGAAGGCGGGUCUCUGAGCCGAUACUGACGCUGAGGAGCGAAAGCGUGGGGAGCGAACAGG